rnacentral:lncRNA from 1 species
AUGGUUUAUUGCAGCUAUCAAACCAAUUACUUCAUACUGAUUAUUCUUGGUAAGACGGGUGAAUAUGGUAUUUGAUACUCAUUCUAUAGAAGCUUGCACAUUUUGAGUGAACUGUAUGGUUGAAAAUUCAGCAGUAGCUUCAUAGCUUAUAAUGAAAUGUAUGGAUAUGGCAAAUAAAUAUUUCAUUUACCUAGAAAAUUAGCAACUACAAGUUCGAUUGGACUUUAAUAAUCUAUUGGAGGAAUCAUGAUAUCUUUUGAGCAUCUAUCUGGUUUUAUAAUUUAUAAAGAAACAUUAAUUAAUGCAUGCUUUCGACAUGAUUUAUUCCCAAUUUUCCCCCUCUAGAACCAUGUUUCUCAUAUCGUGUUAUAGGGAGCGGAGUGUGACUUACAUUGAAGUACAUGUUUUGUUGUUCAGUUAUUUGGAAGAAUAAGUUUGGAUUCUCGAGAAAGUGGAAUAGCUGGAAAAAGCAAAUAGUUUAUGAUUGAAAAAUUCCUGCAUCUCUGUGUAUUUAAAUCGACCCACAAGAUUAAAGCACUACACCACAUGUGAAUGAAGCAGACUAUUUAUUCAAGGACGUAAAGAUCAGGUUAAACCCUCACUAUGUAAUGAGGGCUAGGAUGAGCUGGUAACCAGAAAGCUUAGCCAAACACGAUCGUAGAGAAAAGUUUCAAAAUAAUGCAUAUUUUUGUUAUAAUUGAACAAUGUAAUUCCUGUGAAGUCCAAUACUUCCGGUACUGCUAAAUCAUUUGAUUCUAAAAGUUACAACUAAUGUAUCUAAUACCUUUCUAAAAAUCAAAAGGUCAAUGCUUUCCAUGGGAGGUAUGAAUAUUUGCCAC